UAGGGAAUCAUCGGCAAUGGACGAAAGUCUGACCGAGCAACGCCGCGUGAGUGAAGAAGGUGUUCGGAUCGUAAAACUCUGUUGUUAGAGAAGCACAAGGACGUUAGUAACUGAACGUCCCCUGACGGUAUCUAACCAGAAAGCCACGGCUAACUACGUGCCAGCAGCCGCGGUAAUACGUAGGUGGCAAGCGUUGUCCGGUUUUAUUGGGCGUAAAGCGAGCGCAGGCGGUUUCUUAAGUCUGAUGUGAAAGCCCCCGGCUCAACCGGGGAUGGUCAUUGGAAACUGGGAGACUUGAGUGCAGAAGUGGAGAGUGGAAUUCCAUGUGUAGCGGUGAAAUGCGUAGAUAUAUGGAGGAACACCAGUGGCGAAGGCGGCUCUCUGGUCUGUAACUGACGCUGAGGCUCGAAAGCGUGGGGAGCAAACAGU
rnacentral:rRNA from 1 species